rnacentral:rRNA from 1 species
CGUAGGGGGCGAGCGUUGUCCGGAGUUACUGGGCGUAAAGCGCACGCAGGCGGUCGGGCAAGUUUGGGGUGACAGUGGUCGGCUUAACUGACCAAGUGCCUCAAAGACUGCGCCGACUUGAGGGCCAGAGAGGGACACGGAACUCCAGGUGUAGUGGUGAAAUGCGUAGAUAUCUGGAAGAACACCAAAGGCGAAGGCAGUGUCCUGGGUGGUACCUGACGCUCAGGUGCGAAAGCUAGGGGAGCGAACGGGAUUAGAUACCCCGGUAGUCCUAGCCGUAAACGAUGACCACUAGAUGUGCGGGGUAUCGACCCCCUGCGUGUCGGAGCAAACGCGAUAAGUGGUCCGCCUGGGGAGUACGGUCGCAAGAUUA